UGAAAUUCAGAAUCUGAUUUUGUAUAAAAGCUUAAACUCAAUAUGAUUUCUAAAUAAAAUCUUAAUGUAAGAAAAACAGAAUUAAUUUUGAUGCUUUGGUUGAUUGCUCCGAUACGCAUCCGAAACAUAUCAUUUCUUAUCUUUAGAGUGUACCAAAAUUGGUCCAAAUGAUGUGUCUUUCAAUGAUCUUGAUUGCAAACAAAAAUUUCUAAAUAUAUGAUUUUAUUUUGAUAUUAAAAAGAUUUAUUGUGUUUCAUGUAUACAUUGCUGAAAAACUAUGAUUAAGAAAUUGAGUUCUAUAAAUAUAUAUACCUCAAUGAUAAUCUAUAUAUUUUUCUCUCCUACAUUCUUAAAGACUUCCAUCAGAAUAUAUAUAUAGAGUGAAUGAUCUUAAAGCUAGAAAUAUUUUAGCUCACUCAAAUGAUUCUAAAAGAAAGAAAAUGUAAAUGCUUUUGAAAGAAACUGAGCUUCAAAUGAAUCAUUUUCUGAUUAAUAUUCCUAUACAUUUUCUCUAAGAUUAAGAAAAAGCAUAACUUGUUCUUGAAGGAUUAGAAAGAGUAAUUGCUACAAAUUUUGAAUAAUGCUAGAUUACUCUACAUUCUCGAUAUCAUAGAAAAGAAUGAUUAAAGAAGAAUGCAUCUUUUGAGGGGGAGUUUUAGAUAUUCAGUAUCUCAUACCCUGAUUUUUAUGGAUUGAUUUUGAUGAACCUCCUUAUAUUGCAAAACUUGCUUUAAUUAUAUAAUAAGUUUAUACCUUGAGAUGAGUUCUAUAAAGGUUGUCUUAUCUCAAACAUUGAGUCUUAUGAAAAUAAGCUGAAACUUAUAGAAAUUUUUUUUUGAUUGACAAUUUUAUUGAACAUUAUCUUCAAAUUCUAAACUCUUAAAUAGGAACGAUCAAUUAAGGGGGAGAAAGAAAAUUUCAGAAGGAAAGAUCAUAUAGAACUUAAUCGCAUA
rnacentral:lncRNA from 1 species